rnacentral:lncRNA from 1 species
AUUUAAAAGCCUUUAGGUUAGCCUUCACUUAGUUUCUAUGCAUGGCUGAAUCUCAUUUUCCUCCAAUAUAAACCAAUCAUCAUGAACACAAACCUCAGGUGUUAUAAAUUGAUGAUUUUACAGUGGCAGAUCAUGUUGCCAAUACAGUAUGUAAUGAAUUAAAUGCUGCAAAGGUCAGUUGGUAGUGGAACGCUUCCCACCCGCAGGUGAAAUGAAGCUUGCCAUGACAUUAGGAAAAAAAAUGCAUAGCCUAAAACCAUACCUUGGCUGGCAGAACCUGCAGCCGAGAAAGCCCUCUGUGGUCUCGGCAGAGAUCCUUCUUUACUCUCUAUUGAAUCUGAAAUCUUUCUGAACUGGAGAAGAAGGAGGAUCAUGUUUGUGGCCUGCUGUGUGCUCCGAUCUUUAGCUCCCUGGGGAUAAAACAGUAGCUUUUCAAAAGAGAACCCCCACUAGAAAUUGUAAUUUGAUUGAUUCGUUCUUUGAUUGAUUGCUCACUGUGCCUAAAUGACAUCUCACCUUCAGUCAGCUCACAACAGAGUACGUGGCUGUCCUCAGAACAAUUCUGUGAGGUGAGUGAAGCUGAUCGAGAUUGACUGGGCAGACUUGUGUCUUUGAGUCUAAAACCUGGAUUUUUACAGUGCCUUGACCACUACACCGCACUGCCUCUGGAUGGCUAGCUGAAACUGGGCACUCCAUUGGUAAUUCAGUGUGUUCACCUCUUGAAAGCCAUUAUGCAAUAUUGAGUCACACUGCGGUGUGUGACCAAGAGGAUGUGAUGCAAAGUGUCCAUUAUUGGGGGUGGUUUUGUUUGUUUUUCCUUCAAAGUGUCUGCAGAGGCCUGUGGUUUUAUUUGGAACAGCAGGAUUGGGUGAGGAAUGUUGAAGCCUUUUCCCCCUGCGCUCUUAUCCUGAUCUGUGUCCCCAGCAUUUUGCAAGUUCUGCUCCCAAGGUCCAUGCUCCAGAGAGAGGAGACCGCCCUCUGCUUAAAGAACUGCCUGAGAAUAGUACUGUCCCCGAGGGCUGCCCAGUCGGAGGCUAAUUUCAAGAUGAUGAACCCUAAGGAGGAAGAUCAAGUGCGCGAUAUUGUCCGUCCACUGUGAGAAGCACCUGGGCAGUAGAUUCAGCAGGCACAUCGAUUACAUGCUCACCAUCAUCCCCACUUGGGUAAGACAUACUG